UGUUGGUGAAUCCACCCAUUUCCUCACAGGUUGCAACAUCUUCUCCACGUGAGAAUAAGGCCACGCCGUCAAUCGAAUUCCUGCUCGGAGACGCUUCAGCUUUGGCGCGGCGGUGGGGUGGACUCGGCUACCGGCUUCCGAUCCCACGGCGGCUGGCAGCCCCUCGGGUUGUUCUCGACAAACCCUUUUCCUUUAAUUAAAGUUCUUUAAAGUUACGUUCAGCAACUAUUGUUGAAGACAUAAUGUGAAACUAUGUUGAGGCUUGAUUGAACUUGGAUGAUUAUAAUAUUUUUUCCAACAUUAAUGAUUAAUUUAUUUUUCUU
rnacentral:lncRNA from 1 species